GAGAGGGAGAGAGAGAGAGAAAAACGGGGUUUAACGUCCACUCGACACAGACUGACUUUAAAAGAAGUAACAGACUACCAUUGUUCCGGUCAGGUUGGGAUUUGCGAAUACUGCUCCCUUGCUGUCGGGUUUGUGAUUGCACUCCCAACACUGGCAAUACACUAACACAACAAUGAAGAAAAACCAAGAGGUGACGAGAUUGAUCCUGUUGUAGUAAUCCGCAUCCACAUUUUCAAGAUUCUAGAUACCGGAAUGUUGCUGUAAAAGAAUAAAGAAGUUAUAAGCUUAUAGUCUUAUUUUAUUCCGACUGAUUAUAAAAUGUACACAUAAAUAAUGUGGUGUGUCUAUAGGGCUAAAGGGAAUUUAACAUAUUUUUGAAAUAAUAUUUACAUGAUGUAAGCUUAUCCAUUGAAAUUGCAGUAUGAUUCCACUUAAUUGACACCAGCAUAAAAAAUCAAAACAUGCUAUUUUAUAUCAGAGUUUUUCAAAGAAACCCAACAAAUUUGUGUCUUGAAAUUAAAUGAAGAAUAUUUACCCUGAAAUUUCACCUUAAUAUAAAACAACAAAUUUCAAGUGGAAAAAUUCAUUUGAAAAGAAUAGG